rnacentral:misc_RNA from 1 species
UCCGAGUUGACCCCGGCAGUCCCCCAUGAGUCCCCAGCCACCCGAAAGCGCUGCUGGCAACAUGGAGCAAGGGUUGCGCUCGUUGCGGGACUUAACCCAACAUCUCACGACAUGAGCUGACGACAGCCAUGCACCACCUGUCACCCGAUCCGAAGAGGCACCCAUCUCUGAGUGUUUCCGGGCGAUGUCAAGCCUUGGUAAGGUUCUUCGCGUUGCGUCGAAUUAAGCAACAUGCUCCGCCGCUUGUGCGGGCCCCCGUCAAUUCCUUUGAGUUUUAGCCUUGCGGCCGUACUCCCCAGGCGGGGCACUUAAUGCGUUAGCUACGGCGCGGAAAACGUGGAAUGUCCCCCACACCUAGUGCCCAACGUUUACGGCAUGGACUAC